rnacentral:rRNA from 1 species
AUUGAACGCUGGCGGAAUGCUUUACACAUGCAAGUCGAACGGCAGCACGGGGCAACCUGGUGGCGAGUGGCGAACGGGUGAGUAAUACAUCGGAACGUGCCCAAUCGUGGGGGAUAACGUAGCGAAAGUUACGCUAAUACCGCAUACGAUCUACGGAUGAAAGCGGGGGAUCGCAAGACCUCGCGCGAAUGGAGCGGCCGAUGUCAGAUUAGGUGGUUGGUGGGGUAAAGGCUCACCAAGCCAACGAUCUGUAGCUGGUCUGAGAGGACGACCAGCCACACUGGAACUGAGACACGGUCCAGACUCCUACGGGAGGCAGCAGUGGGGAAUUUUGGACAAUGGGCGCAAGCCUGAACCAGCCAUCCCGCGUGCAGGAAGACGGCCCUAUGGGUUGUAAACUGCUUUUCCAGGGAGAGAAACUUACGCACGUGUUGCGUGACUGACGGUACCCUGGGAAUAAGCAUCGGCUAACUCCGUGCCAGCAGCCGCGGUAAA